GGUGGUUCAGUGGUAGAAUGCUUGCCUUGCAUGCAUGAAACCCUGAGUUUGAUUCCUCAGCACCA
rnacentral:tRNA from 1 species